AACGCUGGCGGCAGGCCUAACACAUGCAAGUCGAGCGGUAACAUUUCUAGCUUGCUAGAAGAUGACGAGCGGCGGACGGGUGAGUAAUGCUUGGGAACAUGCCUUGAGGUGGGGGACAACAGUUGGAAACGACUGCUAAUACCGCAUAAUGUCUACGGACCAAAGGGGGCUUCGGCUCUCGCCUUUAGAUUGGCCCAAGUGGGAUUAGCUAGUUGGUGAGGUAAUGGCUCACCAAGGCGACGAUCCCUAGCUGGUUUGAGAGGAUGAUCAGCCACACUGGGACUGAGACACGGCCCAGACUCCUACGGGAGGCAGCAGUG
rnacentral:rRNA from 1 species